CACCAUCAAACACGUCGUAACACACAUUCAUCAGCUCAUAUGGACAAGCUUUGAUUCCUUCCCAACUUCAUCUUCUUGCUUUAAAAAUUCACAUGAAGAAAAUCAUGAGCCAGUAAAACGAGAUCCACAUAUCUUUGAUUCCAUAUUUUUACCUCCAUUUCGGAAAUCAAACUGAAACUAUGAAAAAUCUUCAAUCUGGAAUAAUCGUCGUCAUCCAAGUCUUUCAAAUCACCGUCUUCACCAAAUGGAACUGUGAAAUCCGUGCGCGAGGUUGAACGACUUCAAGAGGUUCAAAUUGAUAGGAUGAGAAAGAGAAUGAGACUUACCAAGUUGAUUCGAUGCGUUGGUUCUCUGGCGAAAAAAGGUUGGCUGCCAUGGUUAUGGAUAUUGGCACCAAAGCUCUAAACAAAACCAUCAUGACAAAGAUGCAAGAACAAGCUUUGGAGGGGAAGUUGGCUUGGAAGAAAAAUGAUGAAGCAAGAAGAAUGAAGGAUGACAUUAUGAAGUUUAGGACUCUUAAAAUAAAUGUUGACUUUGGUCAAAGUUGACCAAAAAGUCAACUAUUGACCAAAGUCAACCUUUGGUCAAAGUCAUUAUUUUUUGUAUUUCUUUUCAAAUGAUGUAAAUGUGACCAUGUAUGAAUGAAUAUUUGUAUGAUUAUUGUUGAUUCUAAGUGUUGACAGCAA